CUUGGUCAUUUAGAGGAAGUAAAAGUCGUAACAAGGUCUCCGUUGGUGAACCAGCGGAGGGAUCAUUACAGAGUUACCUAACUCCAAACCCAUGUGAACUUACCUAUGUUGCCUCGGCGGGGAAGCCUACCCGGUACCUACCCUGUAGCUACCCGGGAGCGAGCUACCCUGUAGCUCGCUGCAGGCCUACCCGCCGGUGGACACUUAAACUCUUGUUUUUUUAGUGAUUAUCUGAGUGUUUAUACUUAAUAAGUUAAAACUUUCAACAACGGAUCUCUUGGUUCUGGCAUCGAUGAAGAACGCAGCGAAAUGCGAUAAGUAAUGUGAAUUGCAGAAUUCAGUGAAUCAUCGAAUCUUUGAACGCACAUUGCGCCCAUUAGUAUUCUAGUGGGCAUGCCUGUUCGAGCGUCAUUUCGACCUUCAAGCCCUAGCUGCUUGGUGUUGGGAGCCUAUCUCCGGAUAGCUCCUGAAAAGCAUUGGCGGAGUCGCGGUGACCCCAAGCGUAGUAAUUCUUCUCGCUUUAGGUGUGUCACGGCUGACGUCUUGCCGUUAAACCCCCAAUUUUUUAAAUGGUUGACCUCGGAUCAGGUAGGAAUACCCGCUGAACUUAAGCAUAUCAAUAAGCGGAGGA
rnacentral:rRNA from 1 species